rnacentral:tRNA from 2 species
AGUCCGAUGGUGUAACGGUAGCACAGGAGAUUUUGGUUCUCCUUGUCCAGGUUCGAAUCCUGGUCGGACUA